GUGCACCAGUCGCGAAACCUUCGCAAUGCAGGAAACUGCGACGAGGGAACUCCAAGUGCCUACGCUCAGCGUAGGCUGUUCUCAAGCCUAGAAAGCUUGAGGAGCAAGGGGCUGGGUAAGACGGGUGCCACCUGUGGUAGCAGUCAAUAGAUUCGAUUUGUUACUGCAAGGCAUAAGCCGCCGCGGUAAUACCCGCAGCCCAAGUGGUGGCCGCUUUUAUUGGGCCUAAAGCGUCCGUAGCCGGCCCGGUAAAUGCCUGGGUAAAUCGUGGAGCCCAACUUCACGAAUUCCGGGUAGACUGCCGAGCUCGGGACCGGAAGAGGAGAGGGUACUUCAGGGGUAGGGGUGAAAAUUCCUUUCCAUUAACGCUUUGCGCGAAGCGGAAAGGGUU
rnacentral:rRNA from 1 species